rnacentral:snoRNA from 1 species
UUUGGCUUACACACAGGUGCAAAAAAAAAAAAAAAAUCCUCUUUUGCAACCCAGAACUCAUUGUUCAGUAAGAGUUUUCAUACAUUAAAGAAGAAAUACU